rnacentral:rRNA from 1 species
UACGUAGGGGGCAAGCGUUGUCCGGAAUUAUUGGGCGUAAAGCGCGCGCAGGCGGUCAUUUAAGUCUGGUGUUUAAGCCCGGGGCUCAACCCCGGUUCGCAUCGGAAACUGGAUGACUUGAGUGUAGGAGAGGAAAGUGGAAUUCCACGUGUAGCGGUGAAAUGCGUAGAGAUGUGGAGGAACACCAGUGGCGAAGGCGACUUCUGGUCCUAUAACUGACGCUGA